AAUACUAUACUUCUAGGAGUAAUUUCUGUAGUGUCCAAACUAGACAAGUGUAUUUGAAAUUGGUUUGUCUUGCCAGCUGUGAGAAGACCUCAAAAGUGUUCUCAUGUGAGAGUGAACCAAGCAGGUAUUGUUGCUUUGAUGUUCUUGAUGUUUGCUUUCUUUCUAAAAGAAUGCAGAAUAGAUAAUCAAGCCUUCUUUUGGCAGC